ACCUUAGAGCUCCAACUGCAAAAUGGGCUGUACAUAUAAAGAUAUAAUUACACCAUUGGAAAAUCACCUCACAUACUCUGACCAAAUGACAAUUAACAUAUAAAUUCACAAGUAAAUGCGGUUAAAUUUCUGAGUUAUCCAGCAUCUGCUAUUCUAAAAUUCAGGAAGAGGAUGUAGUGUAUUUCUUUUUAAAUUAUCAGAUUGGAUUUUCUUCUUUCUUUUCUUUUGUACGGACCAUUUACCGUAGAUGUCCAGGCCCUUCUUGUUAAAUUCCUGUGUAUUGUUGUUACUUGAUUUAGGUGUGUCUUGAAUGCUGAUUGAUACAGAGAUAGAAGCAAAGUCACCAGUAAUGAGAAGCCACCUCCUCUGGUGCCUCAUAUCCUUAAAUUGCUGUGAGGGAUGACAAGCCGUAUCAGUUUCCUUUGCAGAGCUGACACAAGACUUCACGCACACUCAGACACACACACUGAGUCCAACUAGCUGAGAUUCCUCCUCUCAUACUGCUGCAUCAUGCCUUGUCAGUCUCCACUUGUGCUGGAAGUAGAAAACCUGUCCUGUGCUCAGCUAGCUGGCCCAAGCUACCCCUUAGCACAUCAUCCAGGGCAAGAAGGUCCAAGUCUGGGCACUCAGAAGUCCACAAACUCCUCAGACCCAUUGAGCCAACAGAACAAACACAUUACCCACUGUCACAGUGAGAGUGAUGAGUCUAUCCAGACUGUGCUUCAGCCAGGGCGGCUACAGGGGCCACAAACCAGUUCUGAGGCCCACUGCCAAUGUCUCAGACCUCAGCCCAAACCCAAAGCCCUGGUCCCCACUGUGAGUGCAACCCUGGAGAAAAAAGAAAACAGGGGAGAGGAUGCAGGGGCAGCUCAGAGAAAGAAGCAUCACUGUGGGGUGUGUGGGCAUCUGCUGCUGGCUGUUGUCCUGGCUAUCUUCUCCCCGCUGAUCGCUGUGGGAGUCUGCAUGGCUGAUAUUGUGACUGGAGAGUGCUGUAAUGUGCCUGAGAAAGACUUUGACUAUGUGGAUGACCUAUAGACUCUGUAUGUCUAUAGGUCAUCCACAUAAAUCUUCAGUUCUCACUGAUAUAAAAGAGAACUGAAGGGUUUUACGUGGAUUAGAGAAUGUGAAUUUAUCCAAUCAUUUAUAAAUUAUGUACAUUAUUGUACAUUAUUGACUUUUAUUGAUUAUUUUUCAUAGCUUAUCAUAGUUUUUAGACUAAUUUAUUAUCUUUCAAAUACUGUGUGAAAAUCAACUUGCAGAGACUUUAACUUUGCUUGAGAGGCAGUCCACUGCGGUGUACGUCUUACUGCCUUUAUUUUAAGACACAGGUUUACAGUAUAUAAGCCUUCCCAACUACAGCUGGGAAAAGUGACAGUAUUCAAAUUCUAUCCUUGUGGUGCAUUCAAGGAACCUCCAGCAUUCAAGAAUUACUAGUGGCUGUCCAUUAUUGUAGCAUUCGCCAGUUUUGUUACUGUAAGAAAAGGAAACCUUGAAGACAAAAAGUGGCACCAAUUGACCAAUAAACAGUAUGACUGUUUUAUUGCAUUACUGCAGUAAACCAGUAAAACAUUGGUGUAAAGUCUGUGAGGGAUUUUUGUGGAACACUAAAAUCAAACAAGUGGCUUCCUGGAACUUAAUCUAAAAAGAGAAAACUUGGGAUGCUUUGAAAAAUUGCUGACAUGAUGAAUAAAUUAUUGGGAUAAAAGCCAAUGGUGUUAUCAGUGGUACACCUGUACUUUAUGUGAAACUGAAAGGAUAAAAAGCCAAUUUUAGCUUCUCAGCGGUGCUGUUCUUCUCUUCUAAAGAAGUCCCCUGGUGCCAUUUAUAAUAAGUAUGAUUCACUAUCCUCCGUGUAAGGAGUGAAGAUAAAUUGUACAGCACUCCUAAAAAUAUAUGUAUUAAUGUCAUGUUCGCCACCUAGUGGCAUGAUAGUAAAGUGCUUGCAUUGAAGUUAAAGGAAAUGAAGCGAGUAUUCUUUUUACUUAACCUGAGUUAACUGUAUAUAGAUUGCUAUUUCACCAUCCUCCAAAUACAAACUGUCUGCUGUAGGUAUUUUCAACUACAACUGUCAGGUCAAGUUGACUUUUUUCUGUUCCACUAAAUUUUGGAGAACAGAAUAUUGAACUUUUUACUGCACUACAUUUUUUGACAGCUGUAGUUACUGAUUACUUUUCAGAACAAUGUUUUACAUUUUACACAAAACAUAUAGUGAGCUUUUUAAAUAUAAUGCAUUUGUUUGUCAUGUUUCAUAAGUUGUUAGCAGUUGUUAGCAAAGUGAUCUCCCCUAUAAACUUCUCAAAGGGUUGUAUUUAAAUAAACAUUUGAAGCCUAAAGGGGAUAAAGAGUAAGAUUAUGAAUUGUUCAAAAUGUUAAUUCAUAUUUAAGGCAAAAAUUGUAUCUUUUUUGUACCCCAUUAACAGCCUCACUGACUCAUAUUUUUUUGACCCAUUGGAGGGGGUCUGAUGCCUAACUAGAAAAUCAAUGGACUAAACUAAAACUAGCUCCAUCUUGACCAACUACAAGCAUUACUUGCUGCAAUCAAUAUCAACAAUCUAAUAAUGCCAUGUAUAAUAAUAUACCAGUCACAAGGGCAAGUUUUCUUCGUAAUGAGUACUUUAAGUGGUAUUUUGAAUGAAGGACUUGUAGUGGAGUAUGUCUGAUGCUGCCAUAAUGAUAAUUUUACUUAAGCAAAAUAACUGAGUACUUCGUUCAUCACUGAUCUGAUCAAAGAAUGACAAAAAAAAAAAAAACAGUAUGCAUUGUGGAUCAUUGUUAAAGCCUGUUAAUCAUUGCAAA